rnacentral:rRNA from 1 species
GUCCACGCCGUAAACGAUGAUAACUAGGUGUCGGAGGAAUUGACCCCUUCGGUGCCACAGCUAACGCAUUAAGUUAUCCGCCUGGGAAGUACGGUCGCAAGACUAAAACUCAAAGGAAUUGACGGGGCCCGCACAAGCGGUGGAGUAUGUGGUUUAAUUCGACGCAACGCGAAGAACCUUACCUAGGCUAGAAAUCUGCAGGACGAUUAGUGGAAACAUUUUUCUCCUUCCGCAAGUGAGGUCUGCAGACAGGUGCUGCAUGGCUGUCGU